CAGGCAUGCACCACCGUACGCAGCUAAUUUUGUAUUUUUAGUAGAGUUGGGGUUUCACCAUGUUGGCCAGGCUGGUCUCAAACUCUUGACCUCAAGUGAUCCACUCGUCUCGGCCUCCCAAAGUGCUGGAUUACAGGCGUGAGCCACCGCGCCCGGCCGACGCUCCCUCUUAUGUAGCCACGAGGAAGGUGGAAGACACAGCUAGAUUUCUGGAUUCCUCUCUUCAGGAGCCUAGAUCUGCAUUUCAGGGGCAUGGAGAAAGAAGAUAUCUACCACCAGGACUGGAGACAAGAGAUUCGACUGUGUUAGCCAGGAUGGUCUCGAUCUCCUGACUUCGUGAUCUGCCCGCCUCAGCCUCCCAAAGUGCUGGGAUUACAGGCUUGAGCCACUGUGCCUGGCUUCAGGCUGGGAUUUUUAUAGCUUAUUAUGGCAAGGGAGGAGACGGAGAGUAAAAGAAGAAGGAAGAGCAUACACAGUCACCCCUUGUGUGACAAAUAUGCAAGAAAUAAAGAUAAAUGUGUACAAUUCUUACAAUUUUACUUUUCUGAAUUUUGCUAUUGCACUGAAUGAUUUGUGAUAAGACAGAUGGGGAUGAAAAAUAUACUUAUUAAAUAAACAGCUAUUAAAAGCCCCUAAAACUCUUUAAAAUGGGAUCUUUUUGUUUGAUUACAGAAGAAUUACACCUUUAUUUUAGACAUUCUGGAAAAAAUGCAACAAAGAGAAUAAAAAUCAUUCAUAAUCCCACUGCUCAGAAAUUACCACUGCUGGCCAGGCGUGGUGGCUAACGCCUGAAUCCCAGCAA
rnacentral:lncRNA from 1 species